UAGGGGAAUCUUCCACAAAUGGGCGCAAGCCUGAUGGAGCAACACCGCGUGAGUGAAGAAGGGUUUCGGCUCGUAAAGCUCUGUUGUUAAAGAAGAACACGUAUGAGAGUAACUGUUCAUACGUUGACGGUAUUUAACCAGAAAGUCACGGCUAACUACGUGCCAG
rnacentral:rRNA from 1 species